rnacentral:misc_RNA from 1 species
GGAUGAAGAACGUAGCGAAAUGCGAUAAGUAGUGUGAAUUGCAGAAUUCAGUGAAUCAUCGAAUCUUUGAACGCACAUUGCGCCCCUUGGUAUUCCGAGGGGCAUGCCUGUUCGAGCGUCAUUUGUACCUCAAGCUCUGCUUGGUGUUGGGUGUUUGUCUAGCCUCUGCGGCUAGACUCGCCUUGAAUCUAUUGGCAGCUAGAGUAUUGGCUUUGGAGCGCAGCACAUUUUGCGUCCCUGGCUGAUACUAUAGCACCCAUGAAGCUACCAUCACGUUUGACCUCGGAUCAGGUAGGGAUACCCGCUGAACUUAAGCAUAUCAAUAAGCGGAGGA